CCAAAUGAACUUGCGUUUUGCGCUGAAUGAUAUUUCAAAUGAACCUCACUUUCAAGACUUCCUCCCAAAAGACAGCAUUUGAGCCAUGGUGGAGUUUAUGCUGGUCACGCUAACAGCAGAAGGUACGCAACCAACAAACCAGUUUAAGCGUUCAAUUGUGAAAGAUCUGGCGAAAAAAUCUGCCAAACCAACAAAUUUCCGCAAGAUGAUUCUUUUCCAAAGCUUGCAAAUUUUAAAGGAAAGACAGGCCGAAGUCCGGAAAUGGACGAAUUUGUUAAACUUAAUCUUCGCGAUGUGAUGGAAGGAAAGAAAUUUGGCGAUGUUUUCAGAAAAUCCGAA